GAGGGUAUAGCUCAGUGGUAAAGGGUAUGCUUAGUAUGCACGAGGUCCUGGGUUCAAUCCCCAGUACCUCCA
rfam:Camelus ferus unplaced genomic scaffold scaffold1241, whole genome shotgun sequence.